GAUGAACGCUGGCGGCGUGCCUAAUACAUGCAAGUCGAGCGAACAGACGAGGAGCUUGCUUCUCUGACGUUAGCGGCGGACGGGUGAGUAACACGUGGAUAACCUACAGAUAAGACUGGGAUAACUUCGGGAAACCGGAGCUAAUACCGGAUAAUAUAGUGAAACGCAUGGUUCAAUAGUGAAAGACGGUUUUGCUGUCACUUAUAGAUGGACCCGCGCUGCAUUGGUUAGUUGGUAAGGUAACGGCUUACCAAGGCAACGAUGCGUAGCCGACCUGAGAGGGUACUCGGCACCCUUGGACCGAGACACCGUCCCGGCCUCCUCGGGGGGCCAGCGUUGGGAAUUCUUCCGCAUUGGGCGAAGGCCUACCGAGGCAUCGCGGCGUGGGUGAUGAGGGCCUUCGGUUCGUAAACCUUUGUUAUUGGGGAAAAGCGAAUUUGUAAGUAACUAUGCUCGUUUGACCGGACCCUAAUCAGAAGCCCCCGCUAACCUCCUU
rnacentral:rRNA from 1 species